AAACAAAACAAGUUGCAGGUCGCCGGCCGCCCGCCCGCGGGGGAGCCGGGCGGGUCACUCACCCUCAUCCUGUUCAGCGGGCUUGGGUCGUCGGGUCGAGAGGACAGGGAAGACCAGAGCACCACGAGCCCCAGGAAGCUUCCCACCACCAGCAAACUGCGUCUGGUCCUUAGCCUUUGCUCUGUCGCUCAGCUGUCUACAGCGUCUGGAACCCCAAACUUUUAUGAUCUGAGUUUUCCACUUGAUGCAGACUUCAUUCAUCCAAGAAGGGGUGUUGGCAAAUGUUUUCCCACAUGGCCAUCCUUUAGUACAUUUUACAUUCAGACAUAUAUGUAUACAUCCAAGGUGUCGAUCACUUUAUAUCACGGAGUGUAUAUAAUUAUUGGUGUUCCAUACUCUAAACUGCCAAAUUUGUUGAGCACAGUGUCUUAAUUUUUAUCUCAUUUUCUUAGA